GGAUUUCACAUCUUAUUGGUUCUAUCAUUUGUCACAAAAGUAAGUAAUUAUUGGAUAUUGGCGAUCAAGUGAUCAAAAGACAUUUAAUGCGUCUGGAGGAAUUAAAGUUUAAUAAUGCACUACUUGAACACUGCUUGAGGAAAAUGUUUAUCCAGCUGGGGUAUUUGAACAAAGAGAUGACAGGAAUUGAAAAGGACAGGCAAGAAAGGAUUAAACAAAACUUAAGAGAAAUAGAGGCUGCUGGAUUAGAUAUUACAGCGAUGAAGGCAAUGACAAUGUCAUUGUAUGGUCCAAAACAGAAAGCUAAUGGUAAAACCACUAAAGAGGGGAAGAACAAGGUGGGCCAUGGCACUACUGAUGAAGAAUUUCUACCACCCGAAGGUGAAGAAAACCUCAGUGUCUACAGUGACGAUGAUGAGUCUUCUAGGUCGCAAGCUAAAAAGGCAAAAGUUAUGGGUCCAGGAAAAAAGAGAGGCACUUCUACUACUCAAGUUUUGAGAAAAUCACAAAGAACUCAAGUUUUGAGAAAAUCACAAAGAAAUCAAGAAGAGGGUGGCAGCUCCAAUGGAGCGACCUCAACUCUACCAAGACAACCUUUAGCCGAUAAUGGUCAAGUAAUGUCUAUGGUAGCUGCCAAUGAUCAGCAUGCUAGUGUACCCACUACUUCUAAUUGUUUAGGUAUGUCAAAAAGAAAAAGGGGCCUAUCACAAGGCAUUACAGUUCAAAAGAUUGUAUAAAAUGGUGAGAAAAUAUGUCAUGUACGUAUCCCUGAUGUUAAGUGGGGACCAAUGGGUAAAAAUGCUUCUUUGUUCAAGACUAACGUAGGCGUUGUAUGUCACCUAUUUGCUCCGUUGAGUGUGCCAUACUGGAAUGAAAUGAUGGACGUCCGAAAGGCUCCAAUGUUCGCACGCCUUGCUUGAAGAAAAAGAGGCUUUGUAAAGCUUAUAUCUAGUGAAGAAAAUCAGCAUUUUUAGUGCCCAGAUAAGUCUAGUUACUGCUGUAAUUUCGAACUAAUCUUUGUUGCUGAAAACUGCAUGUUCGUAGCUUGAUAAAGUGCUGAAAAUCAGAUUUGGUUCUGCUGCUUUUCUGCUGUGUUUUGCCCAGUUUAAAGACUGUUUUUGGGGAUAUUUGAGUGUGAAUUUGGGCCUCUUAAAUCCCCCAACACUUCUUAUGGUGCAAGUGCUUGAUGUUAGACUUGAAUUCCUAUGUAAACUCAAGAAAUUAGACCACUUAUUGUUCUAGGAAUGACAUCGUACAAUAUACCUGUCCUAUGAAAAGAUACAAAUUUUGCAGUGACAUGGAAAGCCAUCAGGAGUGUCCUUCUGUCACAAACUGUUCUAUCUUUCAUGUUAGCAGCUUGUCUUUAUUUUAUCUAAGUUGAUUGAAUACUGAAAUUGAAUUUUAGUUGUAGAAAAUAUGGGUAUAAGUGCUGAAAGUGUGAAUGUUAGUUAACAUUUUAUGGGUUGAGCAGAGCUGCACUUUUUAUGGCUUUAGCUCAUCCUUGUUGA